AAAAAAGGGGAAAGGGAAAAAAGACAUCUUCUCUGCACUUAAAUAGCGAAUGGAGGAUGCUUUUCCUGUGGUCUAUUUUCAUACCAGCCAGGCGAAGUACUAUGAAGACACCCCUGAUCUUGACAAGAGGCGAAACAUUCAGAGAAAUUCACAAUUCAGGGCAAUCACAUGUACCUACGGGGGAAGGAUGGCCAGCCAGACAGGAGGGUGAUUUUUACUAAGGAGGAAAAGGAGGCCGUGCUGACCGAGAUGCAUGCUGGCCAUUUCAGAGUGAAAUGCAUGAUUGCCAAAAUCAACCUACGCUUCUUCUGACGGAAUUGUCAAGGAGAUGGACAGCUGGGAAAGUGAAAUAACCUUUUGUUUAUCAAUUUUAUGAUUAUGAUUUCAAUGUUUGUCACAUCAGAGAGCGCACAACGUUUCAAUUUGCCAAUUUUUGCUUUAAGGUCCGUACCCGGUCUAGCCUGCCAGAAGUUUGAGAAGGCGAAGACUAUGGCGCCAGAGUUGAAGCCCAUCAAAGUUGUUUCACCAUGACACAUGAUCAGGGUGGACCUCAUCAGACCCUUCACAAAAUCCAGGAAUGCAACAGCUGGUGUCUGACGGCAACCGAUCUCUUUACCAAGUGGGUGGAGGGAAUACCCAUUAAGGAUGAGACGGGCGAGGCUACCUCCAAGGCGAUGGUAGACAUCUUCAACACCCACGGUUCUCCUGAGCUCAUCUUGAGUGACUAAGAUAUCGCUUUCCUAUCCCCUCCUCCUGGUCUGGUGAAUGGAUCAACCAGACCCUCAAGACUGCCAUGGGCAAGUCCCUUGAUUAAUACCAGGAAGGUUGGGAGAACUACCUGAUGGUAAUUCUCUUUUCACACAACAGCAGCAUCCAGGCCGAGUACGAAUGGGAGCCGCAGCUAUUGACUUAGAUCACUGAAACCCCACCUGAUGUGGUGGAAGUUGUGGAACCAGAUCAGAAUGCCUUCGAGGACCACCUUCAGGCACGGACUGAGAAGGAUGUGGAGGUUUUUGACCAGGUGGGACUGAACAUGGACAAGGUGCAGGAGAAACAGAAGGAGCGCUACCGGAGCAGAAUAAAGAAGGGGACCAAGUGCUUUGACAUCCGGGAGAAUUACUUGGUUUGGAAGAAGGACGAAAGGAAGGCGAGACCUGGGAAACCUCGCUGCUCUUUCGCUCCUAGCUGGGGUCACCAUCUGUUAAAGUUACCUCGGUGCAAGCCAACAAUCUUCUACAGUUGGAGCAGUUGGACAGUCAACCACUGAAAGCCCUGACGCCCUACACUUCAGUGAAGCCCAAUAGACAAAGACUUUAGGACCAUCGACUCUCCGAGCCCCCCAGGAGGUAUCCCAUCCACCAGAACAAAUGAGUUUGGAUCAGUCUGAUUAUCUAUGCUCUGAGUUGGAGGGGGACCAGCUUGAGGUAGGCUAUACCUUCCAAAAGUCUUGAAAAGUACAUAUCUGUCAUGACUUCCGCCGAAGUUGGUCCCUCUCCUUGUUCGGGCGGCGUUCGGCGGUCGAAGUCACCGACCUUCUAGCCAUCGCUGGUCCUCUUUUCAUUUUCCAUUGGUUUUGUCUUGUCUUCCAUCACACCUGGUUCCAAUCCCAUAAAUUACAUGUUGUGUAUUUAACCCUCUGUUCCCCCUCAUGUCCUUGUCGGUGAUUGUUUAUUGUAAGUGCUUGUACACGUCAGUCUUGGCGUGCAUCAGGUUAUGUACCCAUUAUUUGAUUGUUCUGUUUUCCGGUGGGUUUUUUGUUAUUAAACUGCGAUGUUUGGGAAACACAGUUUUUGCUCUCCUCUGUCUGACUUCUCUUCCGCCAGUACGCACUCCUAACAAUAUCUACC
rnacentral:lncRNA from 1 species